rnacentral:misc_RNA from 1 species
UCAGCGGCUGGAAUUUCUUGGAGACUCAGUGUUAGAUUACCUUAUCACAGUUUAUUUGUAUGAGAAGUAUCCUGGGAUGUCGCCAGGACUAUUAACUGACAUGAGAUCUGCUUCUGUCAACAAUGACUGCUAUGCAUUUUCAGCUGUUAGGGAAGGACUUCAUAAGCAUAUCCUCCAUUUAUCUCAAAUACUUCACAAGGAUAUAGCUGUUGCAGUAGAAAAUUUUGAGAAUUGUUCUUCAGAAUCAACUUUUGGAUG